rnacentral:rRNA from 1 species
CCUACGGGGGGCUGCAGUGGGGAAUAUUGGACAAUGGGCGAAAGCCUGAUCCAGCCAUGCCGCGUGUGUGAAGAAGGCCUUCGGGUUGUAAAGCACUUUCAGUGGGGAAGAAAGCCUUGGGGCUAAUACCCUCGAGGAAGGACAUCACCCACAGAAGAAGCACCGGCUAACUCCGUGCCAGCAGCCGCUGUAAUACGGAGGGUGCGAGCGUUAAUCGGAAUUACUGGGCGUAAAGCGCGCGUAGGCGGUCUGAUAAGCCGGUUGUGAAAGCCCCGGGCUCAACCUGGGAACGGCAUCCGGAACUGUCAGGCUAGAGUGCAGGAGAGGAAGGUAGAAGUCCCGGUGUAGCGGUGAAAUGCGUAGAGAUCGGGAGGAAUACCAGUGGCGAAGGCGGCCUUCUGGACUGACACUGACGCUGAGGUGCGAAAGCGUGGGUAGCAAACAGGAUUAGAUACCCGAGUAGUC